rnacentral:miRNA from 1 species
UAGGAUGACCGACUGUCCUGGUUUGCCUGGGACUGAGGGGUUUCCAGGGGUGUGGAACUUCCACUGCUAAAACCAGGAAAGUC